UCUGGGAUAGCUCAGUUGGUAGAACAUGAGACUCUUAACCUCUGGGUCGUGGGUUCGAGCCCCAUGUUGGGAA
rnacentral:tRNA from 1 species